UGGACCCACUAGGCUUUUAAUGCUCUAUCUUAACCUGUUGACAUGUCGAGCAUUUAUCCACAAACUAUGCAACAUCUCACUUAAUCCCACUCCACUAAUAUAUUUCCCAUAAGUUAUGGUACGUCUUUGUGGCCCCUGGAUAAAUAGAGUAGUGCGUACCAUGAGCUUCUACACUUAGAACAUACAAAAAACCCUGACGACGUAGAACACCA
rnacentral:lncRNA from 1 species